ensembl:lncRNA
GUGAUGUGGAGCCAGCCUCCCUGUGCACACAGCCCACACUGAGGCUGAAGGCCCAUCCUGUGAGGAACAAUGCCAGCAGCCAGCAAACUGCAUUAUGCUGUAUUAUGAGCCGGUAUUUACCAUCUGGCCCAAUCACAGUAACAAGCUGAGCACUUCUGAAUAAAAGACAUUUUUCCUCAAAAUUUAUACUGCCUCCAGUGCCAGUAUUCUCUAUGGACCCUGAGCACAUAAUUAUUUCAUGGGGUAUCCUGCACAUAGAUCCAAGCAGAUGCCGGGACAUCCUGCAGAAGUACCCACUGAGGGUUUAGGCUUUCCAAGGCACACAGGUCGUGCUUGACAUCUGGUUGCUGCAAAGACUAACACAAAAAUGUAUGAGAAAUUUAAUCGUGUUCCAAGAGCUGCAUCCCCGUUGAGCUGUGAACCCAGGCUUCCUUUGGCCUUUUUUGUGUGACAGUAUCUGUCGAACAACUUCUUCAAGAUGUCUCCUGGCAGCUUCUACCGGAUGCAUGCCAUUAUCUACUGUGCUGUCUCCUUGGGAAGGACCUCCACAUCCAACAGGUCAUGCAUUCUGUCAGCCAUAUCAGCUUGCCUAAGAAAGAUCCUGCCACUCCAUGUGAACUUGCUCUCCUGAAUGCUGUAAACCACCAGCACUCACAAAGGCACAAAUGUCAUGCACCUUUCUGAGAUGUUCCUGUCCAGCUCCAGGUUUCCCUCUCUCUUUCAGUCUUCAUGCUUCCUUCACACAACAAGGUUUUCACUUUCUUUCUGUUUCCCUUUAGUGCCACUCUUUUAGCCAAGUUAUUCUUCACCCUCCCAUCUUCUCCUAACUGACACAUCUGUUCACAUGCUCAAACUAUCACUUCUUUGAGGAAAUGCCAGUUCUCCCUCACUUCUUUUCUUUCUUCUCUACCAUGGAAUCUGUCAAGAGUAGUUUUCUCCAUUCAUUUAUCCUCAGAUACGCAGUCCUUGAUGAGAAGCUCGGCGUAGGUCCCAGGGGCAUACUUUGUUAUUAUUAUUUUCAUAAAGAACAACAACAACAACAAAAAUAUCCAGACACAAGUUAAAAAUUGUAAAUCUUUCGCUUGUCUUUAUCGGAGAUUCCAUAUAGACUGGGGAAAUCUUCAGCCUGAGCCUUGGAGAUGAACAAAUAAAAAAAUCAAAUACAAAUUCAAUAAAUAAUAUAAUGAGCUCUUCAAACCUUCUGGAAAAGUUUAAUAAAUCCGAGAUACUUAGACACAUGUUUACCAUAUAACUAUUUGUAGGAACAUGGUACGUAUCAAAAAGUAAAAUGUACUUGCAUUCCUGUAGAGACAUAUUCUAAGGUGUGAGAAGAUUGUCCCAGUCAACAAAUGUCCUUCGCUUUCAAAGGCUGAACUAUUUUCUCAUAUAAAUAAAAGGACAAGCCAAUAAGUGAUGGUUAUUUCAGUGGAGAAAAGUAACAGCUAAUCCUGGAGUUGAUUUUUCAUCUCAGACUGCAUUUGACAGCUUUGAAUUCAUCCUAAUUGUGAAAAAACACAAGAUGGUUAAAACAUCCUGUGUAAACAAGAAUGAAGACAUUGAUUGAAAUAAGCUUUUGGAAAGAGGCUGUUGUUUGUAACACAAAGAAAUAGAAGAUUAUAUCCCAAAAGAAAAGUGUUCAAUGUUAUUAAAAUUAUAUUUCCAAUUUCUUUCCUUCCGUUGAUUUUUUUUUUAAUUGGAGGGCCAAAAUAUCCUCAGGACAGCGAGCUGCAGUCAGCAUUUUGCAAGAAGAAUCUUUCCAUUGGAAGACUUCCAACCAGGUCUCCAUUUCAGUUCUGCAGAACAUAUAAUUGAUUUUUCCAUAUAGUUAUAGUCUAUUAGAUGCAUUUAAAUCUUUACAUUGCUGCCUGUUUGAUGUGGGCGACGUAUUUUAUCCACUGUAAAUGGUAAUUUCUUCUUUCCAGUUUUCUAGGUGGAAUUCUGCAGUUACUAUUCACAAGCUAAGGUCCAGACUUUGGUGUUGGAAUUCUUGCUCUUUCACUGUGGCAUAACCUACCUAUGCUUGCAGCCACACAACUGUUGGGGUGACAGCAUGCACACAAACAGCUAUUCUGUAUGAGAACACCAGGCAUAGCAACACUCUUGCUCAUCUAUACGAACAAGUGAACUGACACCACAUUCAGUUUUUCACUAAAGCAAUUGUAUCUAGAAAUUAUGUGUCUGCUCUACUGUGAACCUCCCUUCAUACACACAAUGAAAAAUCCCAAAUCUUUCUGAGGUUCUAAAAAGGAUUAAAAAAAAACCCUCUUUCUUCCAGUUCAUUGUUGGAUAUGUUAACCAGGAUCAGAGAUGUUCCCAUGAAGUUAAAAACGGGAACUGAAGACUGAAGAGCUACAGCUGUUUCAAGUGCUGUCAGCCACAGGAUGGAAACACCUGGGAAAGCACUGUAGAUGCCAGCAGUCACCAUGGCCUGGUGGUGCCCCACAGCUUGGUUGGAUCCCACAGGGGUGCAGGAAGAUGCCGAAAAAGCUCUGACCCAUGCAGGUUGUGCUUACUGCUUAGAGAAACUGGAUAGGCUGGUCACCUCUCAAAAAAACAAACCUUUGGAGGAUGUGCAUGUGGAGGUAGCUUCCGCUGCCCAAAGCAUCCCUGCUCCACCAGCAGCAUCCCAUGUGGUGUGGACUCAACUUUGGAGGGGCUUUCCCAAAAGUGUCAUCUACUUGGAGCCAAGUGGUAGCCCUGCAGCACAGACAAAACCCCUCCGCCAUGCCCUGCCCUGACUGCCCGCAGCCUCCUGAGCCCAUUCAGAGAAUCACAGAAUCACAGAAAGGGACUCUAUGAAGGGCCCUGAAACUGAUCAUUGAGCUCCAGCCCCCUGCGGUGGGCAGGGCUGUCACCCACCAGAUCAGGCUGCACAGGGCCACAUCCAGCCUGGCUUUGAGCACCUCCAGUGAUAGGGCAUUCCCUCCUUCCUUUCAGGACAUGACCGGGUCUGGUGACCAAAUCACUUCCCACACAGGGAAGCACUAGUGGAGCUAGAUCCAGCUCUCCUAAUUAUCACACAGAGCCUGUAGACUGUUAACAGCAGCCCACAUUAGCAUGGAGCCAAGUCCUUAGUGUGCUGUGAUAAUAACAGUGUUUAAUAGAAUUAGGGGAAGUAUAUAAUCAGAAUAAGACUGCUGUGUGUACACAAAGGCAAGAUUAAUACACAACCAGUGAGCCAGGGCUAAGUCGAUAAAGUGGAAUUCACUGGGAGCCAGGAUAGCAGACAGGUAAACAUUAAUCUCUGUGUGUGAUGUGGAGUUUAGAGAUCAGAUGUUACUUGAAACCCGUGCAGAUGCAUGGGGUAUAUGGAGGGCACCACAGCCUCUGUUACCUUACACUCCUCAUGUGGAGCAGGAAGAGCUGCAUUCUUUGUGAUUAACCCAGCUUGAACUUUGAAAUGUGACUCCCAAAUAUUUGCGAGAAUACUGCAACUAAGACAAAGGAGUGGGGCUUUAAAGACCCUGUGGUUCUACAGUGUGCAGCUAGCUUCCUGCGGGGCUUAGGGCAAGUCCCUGCACCUCCCGGGACCUCAAUUGCCCAUGAAUUUCCUCCAAAUAGAUUUCCUUUGCACAUCUUAUUUCCAUGGGGAAUUAGUAUGGAAGUUUCAGAAGGGAAACACAAGAAGGCUAAACGAGAAACUUCAACACCCAAACUAAAACUGUGGGGGAGUUUUUCUUAUUUCAAGGAAGAAGAGCACAGUUGGUCACAAAGCCAGCAAACAUUUCCAGCUUCGAAAGAGGUCUGUGCCUAAAUACCUGGGUACUUCUCUGUUACUGAUCACAUACCCACACAUACCAGUAUUUCACCACAUUUAAUUGGCUGAUCAGCCACCUGAAGGUGCCAGAAGGCAUCAUCUUUCCAGGGAUCGCUGAUGGAUAGUUGUAAAUUUCUUAGGUCAAGAAAGAAAGUUUUGUAUUCUGGGGGCUUUAAUACAGACAUAUUGCCCAGCUUUGGCUGGCCAUUAAAUUAAUCCCUUUCUUUCCAGAAGCAAUCACAAAGGAUCCCAAAUGAUAAGCUGAGGAGAGCCCCAGGGAUUCCAUCACCCCUGGAUGCAGUGUGCCCACAUUUAGAGCAGGAGUAGGGAAGGUCUCAGCUCCUGCAGCCCAGGACACCGUACUUCAAUGAGCCCCAGCCAGCACAACCUACUUAUUUUACCCUUGUGAAAGUGCUUUAACUUCAGAAUAAAAUAUUGUUUUACCCUCUGCCCUGCUGCUCUGUGUAACUCCAGUGUCAGCUUCCAAAACUAUAACAAACCUCCUAAACAAACACAUUUUAAGCUCUGCUUCCAAACCAGGCUGGGUAAGGAGCAAGCAAGCUGAAUUAGAUGCAGGAGCCGAUUCAUCACCCCUUCCUCUGCCUCCUGGUCCCCCUGCCAUUUUGGGCAUUCCCAGCUGUGUCACCUGCAUGACAAACAGGGCUGAAGGAGUUGUUUUCGCAAGGUGCCAGUGGCCAGUCAGCCUCUUUGCAAGGUGAGGGCGAGCUGCCAGCUGUCUCCUCAAGGAGCACAGCCCUGGAAGCCAGCAGAGCAGGAGGAGAGGGAGGGUAUGGAAACUUCCCAGGGGAGGAUUGUUGCAGAGACUGAACAGGCUCUGCUCUAUCCAAGCACAAGGAAAUGUAUUAAUGUCAGGCCCAAGUGCCCUGCUUUGUCUCAUGACAGCACCUUCGCAAACAUCUCAAACAUUUGUUUUCUUUUGUGCAGCCUCACAUGCCACCACCCAGCACCAACAAAUAGAAGCUCCAUACUUUUUAAGCACAGCCUUAUGAGGAAAUACUGUUACAAUGAGCCGCAGCUCUGUCCUGGCAUGGCGAUAAAAAUGCUGGCAGAGAUGGGAGGCAGAGCAUGUGCAGAGCAGCAGCUGCAAGAAGAGGGGCCUGCGGCAACUGCAAUGGCUCCCAGGAGCCAGUGGGGAGAAUGGGCCAUACAGAGAAAUCCAGGAGACCUCUUAGGAAGGACUUGCUAUGGGGUUAGUUAAAGCUGUUUUACGACUCUCUGGACUGGGAAAGAAACAAGCAAGUCCUGUUUUUCUGAGGUACAGUGAACUGUGUCACUGCUGUAGCACCAGAAGGAGCUGCCGCCCUGCAAGAAG